ensembl:lncRNA
AAACUACUGACAUCUUCAUAACAAGUUACACCAAACUGUAAAUCAGAGGAAAAUUAUUCAUGCUGUGUUCUGGAUGUGACAUAUUUAACUUCAGCCCAGGUUCUCUCUCAUGCUCCACCUGAAUUGUAAAGCAGAUAUCUCAAAUCUAAAAAUUCUUGACAGAGAUAAAAGAGAAAAACUACUCAUGCCAUCAGUGUGGACCAGAAUAUCAAAACACUUUCAGAUUUGCAGGAUAACCAAGACGGGUAUGUUCUACCCAUUCUUAUUCAUUUCUCCAGGUACCAGCACCCAGAUGCAGUAAAGGAGAAAUGAGUCAUGAAAACCCAACCCAUGAAAACCCAACCCAUGAAAACCUAGGCAUUCGGACAGAACAAAGAACAGUAUUUCUUUUGUACUGGGAAGUUAGAAGAGCCAUAACUCUAAUUUUUGCAGCCGGAGUGUCACCAAACAAAAGAGAAAAGAAAUGUUUAUUUGUUUUGUUUUGUUUACUUUCCUAAAUAAGUACUGGAUCUGUUAUUUCUAUCUUUUUUUACAGUAUUUGUGUGGCCUUCUUUGUCAUUUUCGCAUCUUGAAAAUAUUUACAAAUAGAAAUAAUAUGCACUACUCCAUGUGACACAGCUUUCCUGUUAAUGAAUUGAUUUUCAAGAUCACACAAGAUGGUUUUUCUUUGGAUAUUUCAUUCCAAAACCCAGGAAAUGUGGCUUGCUGAAUUAAUGAGCAACUCCUGGGAUUUUGGUUGGGCAAUCCAAGCCAAUAUCUAUGCUGGUUAAGAUCUUCACUGUCAAUGAAAACAGGAUUAUAUUUUGGAUUCACAGUCUGAACUAAAAACACCAAAGUAGAUGCCAGUGUGUUUGGAUCAGGCAAGACAUAAUGCCCUGAGAUACACAGUCAUUGAUGACACCCUCUUUCCUGAACAUAAGCCUUAUGAUGUGCAAGAAUUUUUAACAGUAACCUCUGAAUUGGAAACAUAUUCAAAAAUAGAGACACAGAAUGAGGGCUGGCCCCAGCACAGGAGCCUCCUCAUCCCUACAGGAAGAGAGCAAGGACAGCUGCUCUUCCUGGAGUUAGUUUGGAUCAUGCACGG